GGAGUCGACUGAGAUAAUGAGACGAGAAGCACAAGAGCCGAGGUUCGAACCCCAUCCGUCGCCCGCGAUGCAGAUCUCGACGUUUUUCAUCGACAGGCUAAAGACGCGGCCGUUGCCGUGCCAACAUCUGCUGUCUCAACCCUCUCCGCUCGGCUCCGACCAAAAAGCGACGCGAUUAUUUAGGAGUCCGUGGUCUCUAACCGGGCCGCUUGACAGCUUCUUGAUUCCGCCUCGUUUCUUUUCCCAGGACUUUUCCAUUCGGCAGCUGCACGCGGAGCCAGAUCCGCGCUCAGCGGGUUGAUUCAUUGGUUCACGGACGACCUGCGAUCGCACACACACACAAGCUGUUCCAACGAGGGACAGAAUCCACAUGGAUGACGACGCGGCGAACACAGUGUGUGUGUGUGUGUGUGUGUGUGUGUGUGUGUGUGUGUGUGAACCGUCAGACUCUUCGUUGGAAAAGAUCCUCGCAUCGUGUUCUCGCAUCAUGAUGACGCAAAAACUGCAGAGGGGAUUUACAGUAAACUUGGUGGAAAGACGAGACAAGAAAGAAUCUAUUCACCGGAUCUGGACAAAGGUCCAAGCCAGAUUUCAGCUCAGACAAAGUGAUGACGACUCCUGACGACCUGCUCAGCGGCUGCCGACAUUUCGCUGGAUUCAGAUGUCGACCCAGAGGUCGACUCAGAGGUCACCGCUCAGAAAAGGUUACUGAGGCGACCGGGCGGCGACCAGUUCAUCUGCGCGGGACAAAUCGAUUGGUCGAAGACAAGACAAUGGAACGCUCCAGUAGCUCCAUGACAACCUGGUUGUUCAAGACGCCUCGGAAAGGUCAAACGACCUCGUGUUUCCUGAAGAGUCCCGCUCGGUUUCGCCUCAAGCUGUUUCAGCAAAAUUGUUUGGUUUUUUCAAAAUGCCAGCGAAGAGCAGCCACACCGAGGCUCUGUGGAUUAAACCAUGUGCUUCAAGGUAUUUCAAGUUAUUCUAAUUGUUGACGCCUUUUGACAAAUACCGGUAAUCGAUCUCUUAGAUGAGUGCUGAUCAGUGACGGUCUCGGAAAGAGUCGCAUCCGUGGAACCCUUCUCUCAGACCCUGUUUCUGUCCUGGAGGAUGACGAUUCUCUCACCGACCACACAAAUACAAAAUCGUGUGAACACCUGGACAAACUACACACCUACAAGUUUCCUUCUUCCUUAUUCCAGAAAAGGAAUUUGUUAAGUGGGGAACUGAACUGAGCAUCUUCCUUCAGCCGGUGGGAAUGUGGCGGGGAGGUGCUCUGAGGUUUGUGUCCCGGGAUCAUGUUUUUUCUCCGUUUUUGAAGAAGCUCGACACAUCUCAGUUCUUCUUACAAGACGUCUGUGCCAACAUGAACACAGUCUCCUCUCCCUCGGGCCGGAAUGCUGCCGGAAUAUACCGUUACACUUCAAACGGACCUCCUGCGGGACGCGUACACCAGCUCCCUACUUCAUUUCCCUGCUGAUUUUUUGGACACACCACAAAAGGUUGACCUCUCCCCCACGUAGGGUCACAUCGGACGACCUCACGCCAACACACACUCAUUACAGUGUGUGUGUGUGUGUGUGUGCAGUUAAACCCUCUGGUAGCUUUUCCCUGUGGACUUGUGGACAUUUCAUUGCCACUAAGGACACAGACGAGGACUGUGGUAAUGACGUCACUUGUCAUCACGUCCGCUGCAGCUCCAGGGACAAAAAGACAUCUCAGCUGCUGCACAAAGUGUUUUCACUUUCUGUGACUUAUGGAAUCUGAAAUACAAACUAUAGAAUCUUUUCCAGCAAGUUUGGUGGGGGGGGGGGGGACAGUCCACCUCCACCUCUGCACACAACAUCUGUAACCUACUGAGGAGCUCUGACCUCUCGCUGCCCACCAACGCAAAUGGCUCCAACAUGUUUCCCUUUACGCACGUUCGUAACCCAACACGGUUCACUUUUGGAUAAAACGCUGCCCCGGACAGGCGGGACAG